UACGUAGGGUCCGAGCGUUGUCCGGAAUUACUGGGCGUAAAGAGCUCGUAGGUGGUUUGUCGCGUUGUUCGUGAAAACUCACAGCUCAACUGUGGGCGUGCGGGCGAUACGGGCAGACUAGAGUACUGCAGGGGAGACUGGAAUUCCUGGUGUAGCGGUGAAAUGCGCAGAGAUCGGGAGGAACACCGAUGGCGAAGGCAGGUCUCUGGGCAUUAACUGACGCUGAGGAGCGAAAGCAUGGGGAGCGAACAGG
rnacentral:rRNA from 1 species